rnacentral:rRNA from 1 species
UAAUGAAUGGCCGCGGUACUUUGACCGUGCUAAGGUAGCGUAAUUAGUUGGCUUUUAAAUGAGGUCAUGUAUGAAUGGAAUAACGAAAUUUAGCUGUCUUUUAAAAUAUUUUAUUGAAAUUACUAUAUAGGUGAAAAAGCCUAUGUAUAGAAAAAGGACGAGAAGACCCUUAGAACUUGGCUUAUACUAAGAGACAUAAUUUUUACUUAAAAUGGUUUUGUUGGGGCAACAUAGGAACAAUUUUUAACCUCUUUAAAAAUAUUUACCGAUGAUUAUAAAUUUAAAUAAGUUACCUUAGGGAUAACAGCAAAAUACUAUAAAUGAGUUUGUGACCUCGAUGUUGGACUAGAAAAUUAAUAGGCUAGUCGCUUAUUAAUAAAGUUCUGUUCGAACUAUAAUUUUCU